UGGGUGUUAGUUUAUAUAAAACAACUAAUUUCGACUUAGUAAAAUCGUAUUAAACUACGAACACCCYU
ensembl:Mt_tRNA